ACGGGAGGCAGCAGUGGGGAAUAUUGCACAAUGGGGGAAACCCUGAUGCAGCGACGCCGCGUGAGCGAAGAAGUAUUUCGGUAUGUAAAGCUCUAUCAGCAGGGAAGAAAAUGACGGUACCUGACUAAGAAGCUCCGGCUAAAUACGUGCCAGCAGCCGCGGUAAUACGUAUGGAGCAAGCGUUAUCCGGAUUUACUGGGUGUAAAGGGAGCGUAGACGGUAUGGUAAGUCUGAAGUGAAAGCUCGGGGCUCAACUUCGGAAUUGCUUUGGAAACUAUCAUACUAGAGUGCAGGAGAGGCAAGUGGAAUUCCUAGUGUAGCGGUGAAAUGCGUAGAUAUUAGGAAGAACACCGGUGGCGAAGGCGGCUUGCUGGACUGGAACUGACGCUGAGGCACGAAAGCGUGGGGAGCAAACAGGAUUAGAUACCCUGGUA
rnacentral:rRNA from 1 species